UACGGGGGGGGUAAGCGUUGUUCGGAAUUACUGGGCGUAAAGGGCUCGUAGGCGGCCAACUAAGUCAGACGUGAAAUCCCUCAGCUUAACUGGGGAACUGCGUCUGAUACUGGAUGGCUUGGAUUCGGGAGAGGAAUGCGGAAUUCCAGGUGUAGCGGUGAAAUGCGUAGAUAUCAAGAGGAACACCUGAGGUGAAGACGGGUUGCUGGGCUGAUACUGACGCUGAGGCGCGAAAGCUAGGGUAGCAAACGGG
rnacentral:rRNA from 1 species